CGGCUUUGGCGCCCAGAGACACGGGUCGGGGCUUCGGAUAAGAGCUGGAGCCUCCUCUGGCAAAGAGGGCUGGUGAUGCCCGCCCAAAGCCACGCCUCAGGGCGACGCGGCACAGGCAGCCCACAAGUUAUCCACAGGACAGAAUCUCGACCAAUUCACCAUUUGUGGCAGCCACAAAAACGAAGUUUCUGGAGUAUAAUAACUACUUUCAAAGUAAGUACCAUACAAUUAAACAGGAAAUAACACUUUCAAACCAGAACCAUAUUUUUUUUUCAAAUGUUUUGGCAUGGAAUGCUUGCCGUAUAUAUGUUGUGCUCUGCCCUGAGUCCCCUUCAGGGUGAGAAGGGCGGAAUAUAAAUGUUAUAAAUAAAUAAUAUAUAAUAUAUAAAUGAAAGGUUUUCAUGAGAUAUGUCAUGUCUCUGUACAUUCCAUUAUUACAAUUAUUAAAAGGUGUUGGUUUAA